rnacentral:rRNA from 1 species
GACGAACGCUGGCGGCGUGCUUAACACAUGCAAGUCGAACGGAAAGGCCCUGCUUUUGUGGGGUGCUCGAGUGGCGAACGGGUGAGUAACACGUGAGUAACCUGCCCUUGACUUUGGGAUAACUUCAGGAAACUGGGGCUAAUACCGGAUAGGAGCUCCUGCUGCAUGGUGGGGGUUGGAAAGUUUCGGCGGUUGGGGAUGGACUCGCGGCUUAUCAGCUUGUUGGUGGGGUAGUGGCUUACCAAGGCUUUGACGGGUAGCCGGCCUGAGAGGGUGACCGGCCACAUUGGGACUGAGAUACGGCCCGGACGCAUACGGGGGGCAGCGGUGGGGAAUAGUGCAAAAUGGGCGGAGGCGGGAUGCAGCAACGCCGCGUGCGGGAUGACGGCUUUCGGGUUGUAAAACGAUUUCGCCUGUGACGAAGCGUGAGUGAGGGUAAUGAGGAAAGAGGCACCGCCAAACUACGG